rnacentral:rRNA from 1 species
UACGUAGGGGGCAAGCGUUGUCCGGAUUUACUGGGUGUAAAGGGCGCGUAGGCGGGUUUGUAAGUCAGAGGUGAAAUCCUGCAGCUUAACUGCAGAACUGCCUUUGAAACUACAAAUCUUGAGUUUGGAAGAGAGAGACGGAAUUCCAGGUGUAGUGGUGAAAUACGUAGAUAUCUGGAAGAACACCAGUGGCGAAGGCGGUCUCUUGGUCCAUAACUGACGCUGAGGCGCGAAAGCGUGGGGAGCAAACAGGAUUAGAUACCCCCGUA